rnacentral:misc_RNA from 1 species
GAUGAAGAACGCAGCGAAAUGCGAUAAGUAAUGUGAAUUGCAGAAUUCAGUGAAUCAUCAAAUCUUUGAACGCACAUUGCGCCCGUUAGCAUUCUAGCGGGCAUGCCUGUCCGAGCGUCAUUUCAACCCUCAGGGUCCCCGUUCCGGCGGGGAACCUGGUGUUGGGGAUCGGCCCGCCCCGUGCGGCGCCGUCCCCCAAAUUCAGUGGCGGUCUCGCUGCAGCCUCCCCUGCGUAGUAGUUACAACCUCGCAUCGGAGCUCAGCGCGGCCACGCCGUAAAACCCCCGACUUUCUGAACGUUGACCUCGGAUCAGGUAGGAAUACCCGCUGAACUUAAGCAUAUCAAUAAGCGGAGGA